rnacentral:tRNA from 1 species
AUAUUAUUAGUAUAAUUGAGUAUGUAAGUCUUCCAAACUUAAGGACCAACAGUAUUUGGAUAAUAUA